UAGUGCUUACAGUUCUUUUUGAAUUUUUUCCAGCAGGUCUUCUGGUUUUUACCUGAAGGCCCUC